rnacentral:misc_RNA from 1 species
AAUGAACUUGUGCUGCAAAAAAAUAUUUAUCUCUGUUGUAUUCACACUUCCAAAGAUUCUGGACAUCGUUUUUUUUUUUUUAGUUUCGUCAAGGAAACGUCAGUUCGCGUGGCGCGGUCGGAUCAAAUGGAUGGAGCAUCACGUGAAUAAGUUUUAAUGAUAACGGCACUUGUUACGCAACGAUUCGGAUUGACCAUUAAUUUUAACUUCCGUGAUCCGAGUGACGAAUGGUUCUGAAUGGUCUUAAUAUUCAUCAGUUCAGACGAAAUAUGGUUUGCAGCUACGGAGAUGCACGGAUUGUGAGGUGGGAUGAAGGAAAAUAGAGGUGCGGAUGGAAGGAAGUCAAAACUGAGGCACAAAAAAGAGAGGAGAUGACAAAGAACGUGGUGAGGGUGAAAGAGGAAGAAGCAAAAGGAUGCGCUGAAGCUGCACGAAGGCGUGACGCAAACCAGAAACCAGAAGUCGACGUCCCCUUGGGUUACAGUUAUGUCAUCCAAUCUCGGUAGAAGAUACUUCUCCGCGUAUCGCGCUAGCCGGUGAUGUCAUUCUGAGAUUUAGACCCUCUGAAGAUAACUUUAUUAUUGUAGUACAGAACUGUUAGUUGAAUAUAUAUGGAUUUAUG